rnacentral:lncRNA from 1 species
CAGAGAGGAGUCACAGACCAGGUGACCAACAGGUUAAACAUUGAGGAGACAGAGAGGAGUCACAGACCAGGUGACCAACAGGUUAAACAUUGAGGAGACAGAGAGGAGUCACAGACCAGGUGACCAACAGGUUAAACAUUGAGGAGACAGAGAGGAGUCACAGUCCAGACGACCAACAGGUUAAACAUUGAGGAGACAGAGAGGAAUCACAGUCCAGACGACCAACAGGUUAAACAUUGAGGAGACAGAGAGGAGUCACAGUCCAGACGACCAACAGGUUAAACAUUGAAGAGACAGAGAGGAGUCACAGACCAGGCGACCAACAGGUUAAAACAUUGAAGCGACAGAGAGGAGUCACAGUCCAGACGACCAACAGGUUAAACAUUGAGGAGACAGAGAGGAGUCACAGUCCAGACGACCAACAGGUUAAAACAUUGAGGAGACAAAGAGGAGUCACAGACCAGACGACCAACAGGUUAAACAUUGAGGAG